UCUACCCUGCGCGUGCGCACUGGCUCUGGGGUGCCUAGCUUCACUCCUGGUGCCACCCGAUGGCGCCCUGGCCUAUGAGGUCCAAAUGCAGCAGUCUCCCGAGCCCAGAGUGGCCAAUUGGUUUACAAACUUCGGCUACAUCAACAAGUACUUGGAGAAGUUCUUCACCAGCAGUUCGAAGAAAUCCCAAAACCACAAGAACCCCUCCAACUCUACCAAAUCUACCCCACCGAGCACCAUAGUACAUCCCCACUUGAACGCCAUGAACUCCACCACCAUAAAACACCAGCGACCCCCAAGCCCUGGAACUCCUCCGGCUCCAGCUAUAAGCCUCCUCCCCUGACUCCAGACUGGACCUUGACCUCCAGAGGCCUGUCCCGGAUCUGACUAGCCACGGACCCCUUUAGGUGGUGAGAUGGCCAUCUAUUCCUCCCUAUCCACGCAGCACGGACAACAAAGAGAAAUAGUGGACCUGACGAGAUGGCUCAGGGGGUAAAGGCACUUGUCGCAAAGCCUGUCGGCCAGAGUUCCAUUCCCGAGCUCAUAAGAUGGAAGAAAGGACACCUGUACCAUGGCUCACAUAUACACACACG
rnacentral:lncRNA from 1 species